rnacentral:snRNA from 11 species
AGCUUUGCGCAGUGGCAGUAUCGUAGCCAAUGAGGUUUAUCCGAGGCGCGAUUAUUGCUAAUUAAAAUCACAUACGGGCAUUUUUAUGAUGAGAGGGUGCACAGCCAGUAUCAAAUCCUCCAAGACCUCUAAUCUAGCCCAUUUUAAAUAAGGAAACUGAGGCCCUGAGGAAUAAAAGGACUUUCCACGGAG